rnacentral:rRNA from 1 species
AUCAGGUAGGAAUACCCGCUGAACUUAAGCAUAUCAAUANGCGGAGGA